UUAAGCGACUAAGCGUACACGGUGGAUGCCCUGGCAGUCAGAGGCGAUGAAGGACGUGCUAAUCUGCGAUAAGCGUCGGUAAGGUGAUAUGAACCGUUAUAACCGGCGAUUUCCGAAUGGGGAAACCCAGUGUGUUUCGACACACUAUCAUUAACUGAAUCCAUAGGUUAAUGAGGCGAACCGGGGGAACUGAAACAUCUAAGUACCCCGAGGAAAAGAAAUCAACCGAGAUUCCCCCAGUAGCGGCGAGCGAACGGGGAGCAGCCCAGAGCCUGAAUCAGUGUGUGUGUUAGUGGAAGCGUCUGGAAAGGCGCGCGAUACAGGGUGACAGCCCCGUACACAAAAAUGCACAUACUGUGAGCUCGAUGAGUAGGGCGGGACACGUGGUAUCCUGUCUGAAUAUGGGGGGACCAUCCUCCAAGGCUAAAUACUCCUGACUGACCGAUAGUGAACCAGUACCGUGAGGGAAAGGCGAAAAGAACCCCGGCGAGGGGAGUGAAAAAGAACCUGAAACCGUGUACGUACAAGCAGUGGGAGCACGCUUCGGCGUGUGACUGCGUACCUUUUGUAUAAUGGGUCAGCGACUUAUAUUCUGUAGCAAGGUUAACCGAAUAGGGGAGCCGAAGGGAAACCGAGUCUUAACUGGGCGUUAAGUUGCAGGGUAUAGACCCGAAACCCGGUGAUCUAGCCAUGGGCAGGUUGAAGGUUGGGUAACACUAACUGGAGGACCGAACCGACUAAUGUUGAAAAAUUAGCGGAUGACUUGUGGCUGGGGGUGAAAGGCCAAUCAAACCGGGAGAUAGCUGGUUCUCCCCGAAAGCUAUUUAGGUAGCGCCUCGUGAAUUCAUCUCCGGGGGUAGAGCACUGUUUCGGCAAGGGGGUCAUCCCGACUUACCAACCCGAUGCAAACUGCGAAUACCGGAGAAUGUUAUCACGGGAGACACACGGCGGGUGCUAACGUCCGUCGUGAAGAGGGAAACAACCCAGACCGCCAGCUAAGGUCCCAAAGUCAUGGUUAAGUGGGAAACGAUGUGGGAAGGCCCAGACAGCCAGGAUGUUGGCUUAGAAGCAGCCAUCAUUUAAAGAAAGCGUAAUAGCUCACUGGUCGAGUCGGCCUGCGCGGAAGAUGUAACGGGGCUAAACCAUGCACCGAAGCUGCGGCAGCGACACUAUGUGUUGUUGGGUAGGGGAGCGUUCUGUAAGCCUGUGAAGGUGGCCUGUGAGGGUUGCUGGAGGUAUCAGAAGUGCGAAUGCUGACAUAAGUAACGAUAAAGCGGGUGAAAAGCCCGCUCGCCGGAAGACCAAGGGUUCCUGUCCAACGUUAAUCGGGGCAGGGUGAGUCGACCCCUAAGGCGAGGCCGAAAGGCGUAGUCGAUGGGAAACAGGUUAAUAUUCCUGUACUUGGUGUUACUGCGAAGGGGGGACGGAGAAGGCUAUGUUGGCCGGGCGACGGUUGUCCCGGUUUAAGCGUGUAGGCUGGUUUUCCAGGCAAAUCCGGAAAAUCAAGGCUGAGGCGUGAUGACGAGGCACUACGGUGCUGAAGCAACAAAUGCCCUGCUUCCAGGAAAAGCCUCUAAGCAUCAGGUAACAUCAAAUCGUACCCCAAACCGACACAGGUGGUCAGGUAGAGAAUACCAAGGCGCUUGAGAGAACUCGGGUGAAGGAACUAGGCAAAAUGGUGCCGUAACUUCGGGAGAAGGCACGCUGAUAUGUAGGUGAAGCGACUUGCUCGUGGAGCUGAAAUCAGUCGAAGAUACCAGCUGGCUGCAACUGUUUAUUAAAAACACAGCACUGUGCAAACACGAAAGUGGACGUAUACGGUGUGACGCCUGCCCGGUGCCGGAAGGUUAAUUGAUGGGGUUAGCGGUAACGCGAAGCUCUUGAUCGAAGCCCCGGUAAACGGCGGCCGUAACUAUAACGGUCCUAAGGUAGCGAAAUUCCUUGUCGGGUAAGUUCCGACCUGCACGAAUGGCGUAAUGAUGGCCAGGCUGUCUCCACCCGAGACUCAGUGAAAUUGAACUCGCUGUGAAGAUGCAGUGUACCCGCGGCAAGACGGAAAGACCCCGUGAACCUUUACUAUAGCUUGACACUGAACAUUGAGCCUUGAUGUGUAGGAUAGGUGGGAGGCUUUGAAGUGUGGACGCCAGUCUGCAUGGAGCCGACCUUGAAAUACCACCCUUUAAUGUUUGAUGUUCUAACGUUGGCCCCUAAUCGGGGUUGCGGACAGUGUCUGGUGGGUAGUUUGACUGGGGCGGUCUCCUCCUAAAGAGUAACGGAGGAGCACGAAGGUUGGCUAAUCCUGGUCGGACAUCAGGAGGUUAGUGCAAUGGCAUAAGCCAGCUUGACUGCGAGCGUGACGGCGCGAGCAGGUGCGAAAGCAGGUCAUAGUGAUCCGGUGGUUCUGAAUGGAAGGGCCAUCGCUCAACGGAUAAAAGGUACUCCGGGGAUAACAGGCUGAUACCGCCCAAGAGUUCAUAUCGACGGCGGUGUUUGGCACCUCGAUGUCGGCUCAUCACAUCCUGGGGCUGAAGUAGGUCCCAAGGGUAUGGCUGUUCGCCAUUUAAAGUGGUACGCGAGCUGGGUUUAGAACGUCGUGAGACAGUUCGGUCCCUAUCUGCCGUGGGCGCUGGAGAACUGAGGGGGGCUGCUCCUAGUACGAGAGGACCGGAGUGGACGCAUCACUGGUGUUCGGGUUGUCAUGCCAAUGGCACUGCCCGGUAGCUAAAUGCGGAAGAGAUAAGUGCUGAAAGCAUCUAAGCACGAAACUUGCCCCGAGAUGAGUUCUCCCUGACUCCUUGAGAGUCCUGAAGGAACGUUGAAGACGACGACGUUGAUAGGCCGGGUGUGUAAGCGCAGCGAUGCGUUGAGCUAACCGGUACUAAUGAACCGUGAGGCUUAACCUU
rnacentral:rRNA from 1 species